rfam:Kocuria palustris PEL contig_18, whole genome shotgun sequence.
GGGGAUGAUCGGUUUCGACGGUGUGAGUCGAUUCUGGUGAAGCGGGCCGAGAAAGCACAGUCAUCUCGUAAACGUCCUGUGCAAACCAAUAAGUGCCGAAUCCAAGCGCACUGACUUCGCUCUCGCUGCCUGAUUGAGCUAGCGACAGCAGUCUGUCAGCCCGGGGUCGCCUUCGCCCCGGUGUCUGGCAUCAGCUAGAAGGCCACUGCUUCAGCCGUACGUCGCGGACGGCUGGUGAACACUUACGCGACUGAGCCUGUUGGUCGAGACGUGUGCUACAAGGACCAGGGCUGAGAAAAUCCACAGCACACUGCGCCCGGAGAAGCCCGGAAGAAGCUGCACCGGACGGGGGUUCAAUUCCCCCCAUCUCCACAU